rnacentral:rRNA from 1 species
AGGGAAUCUUCCACAAUGGACGCAAGUCUGAUGGAGCAACGCCGCGUGAGUGAAGAAGGUUUUCGGACCGUAAAGCUCUGUUGUUGGUGAAGAAGGAUAGAGGUAGUAACUGGCCCUUUAUUUGACGGUAAUCAACCAGAAAGUCACGGCUAACUACGUGCCAGCAGCCGCGGUAAUACGUAGGUGGCAAGCGUUGUCCGGAUUUAUUGGGCGUAAAGCGAGCGCAGGCGGAAGAAUAAGUCUGAUGUGAAAGCCCUCGGCUUAACCGAGGAAUUGCAUCGGAAACUGUUUUCUUGAGUGCAGAAGAGGAGAGUAGAACUCCAUGUGUAGCGGUGGAAUGCGUAGAUAUAUGGAAGAAUACCAGUGGCGAAGGCGGCUCUCUGGUCUGCAACUGACGCUGAGGCUCGAAAGCAUGGGUAGCGAACAGGAUUAGAUACCCUGGUAGUCCAUGCCGUAAACGAUGAGUGCUAAGUGUCGGGAGGCUUCCGCCUCUCAGUGCUGCAGCUAACGCAUUAAGCACUCCGCCUGGGGGAGUACGACCGCAAGGUUGAAAC